rnacentral:rRNA from 1 species
UACGUAGGGUGCGAGCGUUGUCCGGAAUUAUUGGGCGUAAAGAGCUUGUAGGCGGUCUGUCGCGUCUGCUGUGAAAAUCCGGGGCUCAACCCCGGACUUGCAGUGGGUACGGGCAGACUAGAGUGUGGUAGGGGAGACUGGAAUUCCUGGUGUAGCGGUGAAAUGCGCAGAUAUCAGGAGGAACACCGAUGGCGAAGGCAGGUCUCUGGGCCACUACUGACGCUGGAGA